rnacentral:rRNA from 1 species
GAUGAACGCUAGCGGCAGGCCUAACACAUGCAAGUCGAGGGGUAACAAGGGAGAGCUUGCUCUCCUGUUGACGACCGGCGCACGGGUGCGUAACGCGUAUACAAUCUGCCCCCUACCGCGGGAUAGCCCAGAGAAAUUUGGAUUAAUACCGCAUGGUACCGUAUCCCGGCCUCGGGUUUACGGUUAAAGGUAACGGUAGGGGAUGAGUAUGCGUCCCAUUAGCUUGUCGGUGAGGUAACGGCUCACCGAGGCUACGAUGGGUAGGGGCCCUGAGAGGGGGAUCCCCCACACUGGUACUGAGACACGGACCAGACUCCUACGGGAGGCAGCAGUGAGGAAUAUUGGACAAUGGGGGCAACCCUGAUCCAGCCAUGCCGCGUGCAGGAAGACUGCCCUAUGGGUUGUAAACUGCUUUUAUACGGGAAGAAACACUCCCUCGUGAGGGGGCUUGACGGUACCGUAAGAAUAAGGACCGGCUAACUCCGUGCCAGCAGCCGCGGUAA